rnacentral:rRNA from 1 species
AUUGAACGCUGGCGGCAUGCUUUACACAUGCAAGUCGGACGGCAGCACAGAGAAGCUUGCUUCUUGGGUGGCGAGUGGCGAACGGGUGAGUAAUAUAUCGGAACGUACCGAGUAAUGGGGGAUAACUAAUCGAAAGAUUAGCUAAUACCGCAUAUUCUCUGAGGAGGAAAGCAGGGGACCUUCGGGCCUUGCGUUAUUCGAGCGGCCGAUAUCUGAUUAGCUAGUUGGUGGGGUAAAGGCCUACCAAGUCGACGAUCAGUAGCGGGUCUGAGAGGAUGAACCGCCACACUGGAACUGAGACACGGCCCAGACUCCUACGGGAGGCAGCAGUGGGGAAUUUUGGACAAUGAGCGCAAGCCUGAUCCAGCCAUGCCGCGUGUCUGAAGAAGGCCUUCGGGUUGUAAAGGACUUUUGUCAGGGAAGAAAAGGAUGUUGCUAAUACCGACAGCUGAUGACGGUACCUGAAGAAUAAGCACCGGCUAACUACGUG